CCAGCGUUACAGAUGGACAGACUGCUUAAAUGUCCCGUUUGGGGAUGAAAAGACAGACUGGAUGGGUUGGUGUGUGAUCGUGGAGCAGAGAGAAAGGGGGAAUAAAAAUAUGCCUUAAAUUGGUCUGAUUCCUUGUCUCGGAUUACCCGACUCUGUGAUUAUUACGCAUCAUGGCUAAGCUGGUGGAGUGUGUGCCCAACUUCUCAGAGGGCCGGAACAAAAAGGUGAUUGAUGCAAUAGCAGAGGCCAUUUCCAGCACGGAGGGAUGCAGUCUGCUCGACGUGGACCCUGGAUCCUCCACCAACCGUACAGUCUACAGCUUCGUAGGCUCGCCACAGGCUGUGGUGGAGGGUGCAUUGAACGCUGCACGCACUGCCUUCCCACUCAUUGAUAUGACCAAACACUCAGGGGAGCAUCCCCGGAUGGGCGCCAUGGACGUGUGUCCCUUCAUCCCUGUCCAGAAUGUCACAAUGGAGGACUGUGUCAACUGUGCCAACCUUUUUGCCCAGCACUUAACAGAUGUGAUGCAUGUACCUGUGUAUCUUUAUGGAGAAGCAGCGAGGAAAGAGAACAGGAGAUCUCUUCCCUCUGUCCGGGCAGGAGAGUAUGAGGCCUUGUCUGAGAAAUUGAAGAGGACAGAGUGGGCUCCUGACUAUGGCCCUGCCACCUUCGUGGCCUCCUGGGGAGCUACAGUAGCAGGGGCUCGCAAAUUCCUGGUUGCCUACAACAUUAACCUCCUCAGCACCAAGGAACAAGCCCAUCGGAUCGCACUAGAUAUCCGGGAAAAAGGCAGAAGCAAAGACCAGCCGGGUCUGAUGAAGAAGGUGCAGGGAAUGGGCUGGUACCUGGAAGAGGCGAACAUAGCCCAGGUGUCCACCAACAUCCUGGACUUUGAGCUGACGCCCGUCCACACUGUUUACGAAGAGAUCUGCAGUGCGGCCAAGGACCUGAACCUGCCAGUGGUGGGCUCUGAGAUUGUAGGUCUCAUACCUCUGAGAGCCGUGCUGGACUGUGCUGACUUCUACAUCCAGAGAGACAGGCUCUUCAUUGUGGAGGAGGAGCACAAAGUCCGCCUGGUCAUCAGUAAACUUGGGCUCGAUUCACUUGGGCCUUUCCUCCCCAAAGAGAGAAUCAUAGAGUACAUGGUGGAGAGGACUGAGGAGGACAAGCGUUUGGUGUCUCUGUCUCUGCAGCAGUUUGUCCGCAGCGUGGGAGCCAGAACCGCUGCUCCGGGAGGAGGGUCAGUCUCUGCUGCCGUCGCUGCAAUGGGGGCUGCUCUGGGAGCCAUGGUGGGUCAGAUGACCUAUGGGAAGAGGCAGUUUGAUAGCCUGGACAGCAUCAUGAGGAGACUUAUCCCUCCCUUCCAUCAGGCCAUGAAUGAACUGCUGGUCAUGGUGGACGCAGACUCCAAGGCGUUCAGUCGCUAUAUGGCUGCAUUGAAGAUGCCAAGGAACACAUCAGAUGAAGUCAAAAGGAGGGAAGCUGCCAUGCAGGAGGGUCUGAAGCAGGCCGUGGCAGUCCCACUGUCUCUGGCUGAAAGAGUCAACCUGCUGUGGCCUUGUCUAAAAGAAAUGGUGAUCUACGGAAACGUGGCCUGCAAGUCUGACCUCCAGGUAGCAGCUAAAGCCCUGGAAACAGCAGUGUUUGGAGCCUACUACAACGUUGUGAUCAACCUCAAGGAUAUCACAGAUGAGUCCUUCAAAGUGACUACUCAACAGAGAGCAUCAGCUCUGCUUACUGAGGCCAGGGAGAGUGCUAAUGCAGUCCUGGAUACUGCAGAGAGAAAAAAGUGAAGAAGUUACCACAUUACCAAAGCUUCCCCCGCUGCCUGCCUAGGCCUCAAACCAGGCUUUCACAACCAUCAAUCUAUUGCAAAUAAACUUGCUGCACAUAAAUACAUACUUUAUCAACUACUCCUCAAUGGUGCUCCUUUGCUGUGUUAGGAAUUCACUAAAUAUUUACGUAAUGUACUGUAUAGCAGCAGCCUACACCAAGCCAGGAUGUCACAGUGUUCUUAUCCACAGCGACUUACAGGCGCAAUUAGGGUUAAUUGCCUUGCUCAAGGGCACAUCGGCAGAUUGUUCACCUACUUAGCUCGGGGAUUCAAACCAGAAACCUUUCGGUUACUGGCCCUACCUCUUAACCUCUAGGCUACCUGCCGCCGUGAAUCACACGAAAUAGAAUAGUACUACAAGGUUUUUUUCUUCUCUCUUCCACUUCGACAUGAAGCUAUAAUGAUAGAGUAGUAUUAUUUGCUUCUGAAUGACAAAGUGAUGCGUUUCGGGAUAUGAACUCUGUCCAUACCUCAGCUCCACCUGUGUAGUACAACAGGCAGGAUGACAUAACGGGAAUUAAAGGGUGUAGUUUAUCCAGUUCCUAGAAAUAAGAGAACAUCCUUCACACAAGACAAAGGAUAGAAUUGAGAGCUGCUUACCAACCAGUUACAGGCGUGUACACUCUUCAUUUAAUCGCCGUUCUAUGUUAGCUAAAAUACAUGCAUUAUUUAUUUUUGAUUUCUGGCAUAUAUUCAGUAUUUGAAUAUCUCAAAUGAGUAUUCUUUAUUCUUUUGAUUACAUGUAAUGUCUUGGAAUAACUUUAGAUUUUGAACAAGGAACUUUUGGGCAGGUUAAUCUGUUUUAUAAGCCUUAUAUUAAUAUGAUCAAACAGUGAUUAUAACACGGAAUCCUUUGUUGCAAUUUUCUUACCAAAGUAACAUAUUUCAUCGCCAGGACUUGAAAAUGUUUGGCAGCAGCUCAGGUGGUCGUCACCCCCCCAGGGUAUGAAGUAGAUCAGCAGAAACAUCCCCAGGGGGACCAGGGGCCUGCCCUCCUGGGGAUAAAGACCACCCCUCCGGGGGAGACGAGACCAUGGUCCUCCAGAGGGUUGCUACCCCCCUCCCCCUCCCCCUCCCCCAGACCACAGAGGCAGUGGUGACCAUGGAGGCAGACACAGCCCUGGUGGUAGAGACAUGGUAGUGGUCAUGGUCAUGGAGAAGGCCAUGGGUUUGGAGAAGUUCAUGGGCAUCGCCACCAGAGGCACUGAAGAGUAAGAGUAAUACAAUUCACUCUCAAAGUGAAAUUCAGCCAUGAUUUUCUGAAUUACCUUGACCCAAUAACAAUCUACAUCAUUCAUGUAUUUGACAUUGUAAUGUGUAUAAACCCAUUGAAUAAACUUGCUUUCAAUUGUA